AUUGAACGCUGGCGGCAGGCCUAACACAUGCAAGUCGAGCGGUAACAUUUCUAGCUUGCUAGAAGAUGACGAGCGGCGGACGGGUGAGUAAUGCUUGGGAAUAUGCCUUUACGCGGGGGACAACAGUUGGAAACGACUGCUAAUACCGCAUAAUGUCUUCGGACCAAAGGAGGGGACGCUUCGGCACCUUUCGCGUAUUGAUUAGCCCAAGUGGGAUUAGCUAGUUGGUAAGGUAAUGGCUUACCAAGGCGACGAUCCCUAGCUGGUUUGAGAGGAUGAUCAGCCACACUGGGACUGAGACACGGCCCAG
rnacentral:rRNA from 1 species